GAGGAAAGCGGGCGGCGUGCCUAAUACAUGCAAGUCGAGCGAACAGAUGAGGAGCUUGCUCCUCUGACGUUAGCGGCGGACGGGUGAGUAACACGUGGAUAACCUACCUAUAAGACUGGGAUAACUUCGGGAAACCGGAGCUAAUACCGGAUAAUAUAUUGAACCGCAUGGUUCAAUAGUGAAAGACGGUUUUGCUGUCACUUAUAGAUGGAUCCGCGCCGCAUUAGCUAGUUGGUAAGGUAACGGCUUACCAAGGCAACGAUGCGUAGCCGACCUGAGAGGGUGAUCGGCCACACUGGAACUGAGACACGGUCCAGACUCCUACGGGAGGCAGCAGUAGGGAAUCUUCCGCAAUGGGCGAAAGCCUGACGGAGCAACGCCGCGUGAGUGAUGAAGGUCUUCGGAUCGUAAAACUCUGUUAUUAGGGAAGAACAAAUGUGUAAGUAACUAUGCACGUCUUGACGGUACCUAAUCAGAAAGCCACGGCUAACUACGUG
rnacentral:rRNA from 1 species